rnacentral:lncRNA from 1 species
GCAGUGGUGGGCCACUCUGAGGAAGCGAAUGCUCCACUGACAGCGGGGAUGACUCACACGUGAGAGCUGUGUCUUGAGCUGUCCUGAAAAUCUCCCUUUUAAGAAGGUGAUGGCUGAGCCAUCCUCUCCUGCUAUUCACUGUGGCCAACCAAUACCAUUCACUUCUGCAGACUUACCCUUACGCUGCGGAGUUGGGCAUCCAGUGUUCAAGAAAACAACUCAUAAAUGGAAAAUAGCACCAUUCUGACUGAAGAACAAGUCCUUGAUGUCAGACAUGCAUUCACUGCAGCCCUUACCAAAUAAAUGGAGAAAAUGGCUUACAGGCAACCAUCAGGUUACAGCUUUGGGGUGCUGUCAGCAUACAAGGUCACAGCUGUCAAAAACGCACCAGGAACACAGGUACUUUUCAAAACAACACAGUAUGUUAUCACCGGUCCUCACAG